CAAUGAUCCCUCACUGCCCAGGUCCACCGUUAUCCUCUGACCCCUCACCAAUGAGCCCUCAUUGCCCAGGUCCACCAUCAUCCUCUGACCACUCACCAACGAUCCCUCACUGCCCAGGUCCACCAUCAUCCUCUGACCCCUCACCAACGAGCCCUCAUUGCCCAGGUCCACCGUCAUCCUCUGACCCCUCACCAACGAGCCCUCACUGCCCAGGUCCACCAUCAUCCUCUGACCCCUCACCAACGAUCCCUCACUGCCCAGGUCCACCGUUAUCCUCUGACCCUCUAACGAUCCUCACUGCCCAUGUCCACCGUUAUCCUCUGACCCCUCACCAACGAGCCCUCAUUGCCCAGGUCCACCGUCAUCCUCUGACCCCCUCACCAACGAUCCCUCACUGCCCAG
rnacentral:lncRNA from 1 species